rnacentral:lncRNA from 1 species
AGUAUUUUCUGUAGAGAAGGCUGUUCAGAGAGAGAAAGUCAAAUGAAAGAAGAACAUCUUGAAUUUAUACAAUGACUGGGAGAAGGCUUAAUGUGUUCUUAGAAUUGUAACUCCUAUUUGGAGAGAUUGCAAAAAGGAGCACCAGGGACAGAACCCUUGGAAGGGCCACAGGGGAUGGCAAAUGGCUCUCUCAGUUAGCUGGCUGAGCAUGUGAGCAGUCCG